rnacentral:rRNA from 1 species
GCCCUUUGAUGGGGAAUGACCCCUCUUUUAGAAAAAGCUAAUACCGCAUAAGAUCCGCAAGGAUGAAAGCCGAAAGGCGUCGAAGGAGGGGCCUGCGCACGAUUACCUAGUUGGUAGGGUAAUGGCCUACCAAGGCAAUGAUCGUUAGCUGGUCUGAGAGGAUGGCCAGCCACACUGGAACUGAGACACGGUCCAGACUCCUACGGGAGGCAGCAGUGGGGAAUCUUGCACAAUGGGCGAAAGCCUGAUGCAGCGACGCCGCGUGGGGGAUGAAGCUUCUCGGAGUGUAAACCCCUUUCGACCCGGACGAAUGCCCCGCAAGGGGACUGACGGUACGGGUAUAAGAAGCCCCGGCUAACUACGUGCCAGCAGCCGCGGUAAGACGUAGGGGGCCAGCGUUGUUCGGAAUUACUGGGUGUAAAGGGUUCGUAGGCGGUGUGGCAAGUCGGGAGUGAAAUCUCUGGGCUCAACCCAAGUCUGCUUCCGAAACUGCUGUGCUUGAGUGUGGGAGAGGCGCGUGGGAAUUGCAGGUGUAGCGGGUGAAGUGC